CUUUUUUAGUACCAACUUCAUUAGGCCAAUCCCCUCCAGCAAGUCAGCUGAUUUCUGAUAUCAUCAGAGGAGUGAUAUCCCAUCAUAUUCACAAGUUACAGUCAGUGGGAGAAAAUCAUUUGUACAUGCAUCUCGGGGCCAUUUGAGAAUCCUGGCUACCACAAAAUGACUCUUCACCUACACUUUUUUUUUUUUUUUUGAACUGAUAUCAUCAUAACCAUCCAUGGUGACCAUGAAAAGUAAAUAUUUGGUUCAUCUUCAAAGUAAGGUAUUGGCUGUGAGUAGACAACUAACUAGCAUAACAGCUUGCAGAUGUGUGGAAAGUUACAAGUACCUAGCUAGCGUAACAGCAAGGUUACACACACCUGGAUAGUUUUUAGGUAAACAAGAUGUUAGUUAGGAGAGGUCCAAACAGCUGAAGCAAAUGCCAGGAAGAUUGUAAUCUUGUAGUACUCAGCCAAUGAGUAACUGGAGGAGGGACUUACAUGCUAGGCACUAAAUAGCUCACUGUAAACUACCCGCGGUGUGCUAGCCCACCAGGCACCCAAUCUUGCAAGACGGUUCAUGAAGUCUUGUUUCAAUGACCACUGACUGAAGAUCUCCUGGGCUAACAAAGUGCGCCUCCUGGGACUGAUUACACAACCCAAAUCAGCCUGACUCUAAGCCAGAGAGAGGUGCCUGGGGAGGCUGCAUGUUCUGAGCAAUGCUUGUAACACUGGCCUCCCUCAGCCACCCCAGAAACACCACAGCUACGGACAUUCGCUGGAAUCCUGAGCCCUGGAAGAGGCAGUGUGAACACACAGGACACCCUCCGGCUCGGGCCCGCAUGAAGCUGUGCAACAGAGUCUCAGCUCCUUCUGCAGAUGGUUCUGUGUAGUGAGAGAGGAAGCUGAUUUCUCUACUAUGGCCUGGAAAAGCAAUAGAAGAUGGCCAAAGUCCGUGGGCCCCUGCACCCAGGAGGGACACCAGAAGAAGCUCCUGGCUCCUGUCUUUGGAUUGGCAGAGCUCUGGCCAUAUGGCCAUCUGGGGAGUGAACCAGCAGAUGGAAGACCUCUCUCUCACUCUUUCUCUCCCUCUAUCUGCGCCUCUAUAACUCUGUCUUUCAAAUAAAUAAACCUUUUUUUUAAAAAAAGUUGUGGAUAUUACACUUUUUUCUUCAAAACUUUUGAUUUUGGAAAACUUUUACUCUCAUGUAAAGGUUACAAAGAUAUCAUAAAAAGUCCCUGUGUACCCUCACCAAGCUUCUCCAAAAUAUAACAUUUAACCAUAAUAAAAUAUUCAAAAUUAGGACAUUGUGUUUGGUAUGAUGCUAUUAAGUAAACUACAGACUUCACUUACAUUUCACAAGUUUUUGUACAUUCUGUUUUGCUCUUAGAGUUUGUGAAAUAUGGCCACAUGUAUAGAUUCAUGUAACUCCAACUUCAAGUCAAGAUGUAGGAUUAUGACUUCACCUGAAAGAAAUUUCUCUGUGCUACAUUUUCAUGGUCACACCUAUGCUGGCCCCAUCAAAGGUAACCCAGUGCACAGUGGUGCCAUUGAGAACAGGAGAAUAGCAACACACAAUUCCAUCCACAAAAGGAAACAUGAGAAACACACCACAGGCAUUAAUCCUCAGACGUGGGUAAUUCUGCACGAGCAGUCUUCCGACAGGAGGCAAACCCUCUGAAAGAGAUUAACAGAUUUUCUAGAGCAUGUUCUUGAUCAUGACUUCUGUGAAGAGACGGAAAAAUAAUCAGGAUAAGGAAGAUGAAAAAGUCAAUCCUUGGGGCCGGCACCGUGGCAAAGCAGGUAAAGCUGCCACCUGCAGUGCCAGCAACCCAUAUGGGUGUUGGUUCAAGUCCCAGCUGCUCCACUUCCGAUCCAGCUCUCUGCUAUGGCCUGGGAAAGCAGUAGAAGAUGGCCCAAGUCUCCCGUGUGGGAGACCCAGAGGAAGCUCCUGGAUCCUGCAUUGGCCAACUACAAUGGCAGUCAUCUGGGGAGUAAACCAGUGGUUGGAAGAUCUCCCCCCGCCCCCGUGUAACUCUGACUUUCAAAUAAAUAAAUAAAUCAAAAAAAAAAAGAUAGUUGACCCUUGCUAUAAUCAAGGGGAGCUUCUGUCAGUGCUGGGGGUUUCUUAGUAUGGGCUGUCCUUUCCGUACUGUCCACGAGCAGUCCCUAGAGCUGAGGGGGUGUCACGACCCGGGACGAUGCAGCUCUCCCAGCACCAGGGGUGAUGAUUUCUGCAAUCUGGAAGGAAGUACUGAGCAUGCUACAAAACAAAGAAGCACUCUUUCAGGUCCUCGGUCACUGGUCUUCAUGCUUACAGAGGACAGAAUGCACUGCCCAGAUACUGAGAGCAGGACGGAGGCCAUUGCGGAUUGGGAAGAGAGUGCUCUGUAUGCUGGGGCAACACAUGAGAGGACUGGCAGUUGGAGGCCAGUGGGGUGAGGCUUUGAUGGGCUCAGUUGUCUCUCCACCGGACUUCCAUGUCCUCAUUUCAGGAAGGCAGAGUUAUCUCUGGGAAAGGCUGUUCAGGCCUGCACUUGGUUUCUCACACUGCCCACUGCCAGAAGUUAGGAUAGCCCUGUGACUGAUCUGGGUGCAGGGAGAUAAAACAGAAGUGAUGGACACUCUGACCACGCCUGCCAUGGUCUCAGCUGUACUCCCCAAAACUCCUCUCUCUGGUUGGGUGCCAUGGACUCCAGCCCCUUGGGCACUAGGAAAACAUAGGCUGAAGACAACAGAACCUCAAUCAGCCUGGAUUUCACAUGAUGGCAUGAACGAGGGACUUCCAUCACCCUAUGCACCUGCCACACAUUGUCAUGGGAGCAGACAACAAGCUUGAGGCCUUAUGCUGCUUUGAUAUUUUUGUUGUGACGGCUAGCUGUACAUGAUAAGACACAACACAGACACACGCACACACACGCACAGAUAGUUCAAAAUACAUUGUUUUUACAAUAUACUAUUUACAGUCACCACAAAGAUAUAAAGUUUCUUGGCAGAAACAUAAGAAACUUUUCAAAGCCUUCAUGGAGAAAAUUAUUAAAGCUUCUUAUAAAGCAUUAAAGAAAACCUUAGUGAGAGAGAUCUCUAAUCCCAGGGUGGUGGGGGGGUUUGGUGUGGAGGACUUUGAAACAGAGUGGAGUUAUGUCCAUGUACAGGAAGAUUAAAUAAUGUAAAGGUGUCAGUUGCCCUAAAAUUAUACUAAAGACUAAAUGCACAUCCUGCUGGUUGUCAUGAACUUGACAAGUUUAUUUUAAAAUGAUAUAGAAUUUAAAAGUGGCCCAAAAUAACCAAGACACUGCUGAGUGAGAACAAGGUGAUGUAACUCUCCUUUCAAUAUAUCACUUUUUGAAAAAUUAUUAGAAUUAAGAUAGCAUGGCAUUAGCGUAGAGCCAGAGAAGCAGCAAAGUGCGAGACUACAGGGCCCUGAAAUAGAUCCUACGUGUCCUGGAAACUGAGCUAUGAUGUUCAGCAUAGAAAGGAGAGACCGUUUGAUAAAUGGGACUGAAGAAAGAACGUAUCAUCCAAAAUUAGAUUUUGACUUGAUGGGAAAAAAGCAAAUCCCUUUAAAAAUUUUAGAGGAAAUAUCAAGUAAUAUUAUUUUGAGCUGGAGAUGAGAAUGUUUUUUAAACAAAGCCCAUGAGCCAUAAAAUAAAUGACUGAUUGAAUACAUUAAAAUUAUAAACCUUGGUUUAUCAAAAUAUACUAUGAAAAAAGUGAAAAUGAAGCAGUAAAACUUCAUGAGAGCAAUAAGAUACAGCCUGAUAAAUAUCAUCAAAAUAUAUGCAUGAAUAUAUGUCAGUAGGAAUGCACACAUACCACUGUUAUUAAUCAAUAGAAACAAUACAAAAUUGGUCCAGUAUUUUCUUAAAAGGUUGGAUUUUAACUUCAUUCGCAUGAAAACAUGGAAACCCAUGUCACAAUGCUCAUGUAGAAAUAUUUUAAUAGUGAAAGUCUCAAUGUCUGUAGGCAGAAGUUGGAUAAAUUGGGGUAGACAUAUGCAAGCAUUCAUGACUCAGCAGUAAAAGUUACUAUGCUAUAGCAACAUGCUUCAAUAUGUGCAGGUCUCAGAUAGAAAAGGAUAAAUUUUAGAAGUUAGUUUAGAGGAAUUUAUAUACAUAUAUCUUACAAUUUACAGUUUCCAAAACUUUAUAUUUCUAGAUAUAUAUAUUUAAAAUGAAUUCCAAUGAUAAUAAAAAGUGAAUCAAUACUGAGCAUGAAAACCAGAGAUACAGUUUGGCCAUAGAGCAUUUGUGGGUCUGUGAUGGGGCUGGCACCUGACUCACUUGCUCGAAGAAGCUAAGGUAAAAAGUUGCCCGGGAAAGAAUUCCUGAAGAUGAUGACAGUGGAGUUGAGUUUCGAAGAAAUAAGGCGUGAGCAAAUGAAAGGUGAAGGGAGAAGAGAAAGCAGGAGAAACAGCAAGGAGAUGAGAGGGAGCAAAGGGAACACCGAGAGUAGUGCUGGGCUACACCUGGCUAUCGGGAGAGGCAGGUGCAGAGGUUUGCUGAGAACGAUAUAACGAGCGGAUUUCCAGUGGGGGGAAAUGAAUCUACAUACAUGAUACAUGUACUCUUAUACACACUUAAUAUAUAAAUACAUACAAAUGUAUAAAUAAUUUUAUUGAUAUGACAAUGUGUAGCCAAUUAUUUACAAAUAAUAAUAAAAUAUACAAUAAUACAAUAUUGUAUAUACAAUAAUAAUAAUAAAAUAUACAAUACUCUAUUUACAGAGAGGCAGGGACAGAGAGAGAGAAAGAGAAGUCUUCGUUCCACUGGUUCACUUCCCAGAUGGCCUCAAUGGCCAGAGUUGAGCCGAUCUGAAGCCAUUAGCCAGGAGGUUCUUCCCUGUCUCACACGGAAAGCUGGAUAGGAUGUGAAGCAGCCGGGACUCGAACUGGCACACAUAUGGGAUGUCGGCACUGCAGGCAGUGGCUUUACCAGCUAUGCCACAGCAUUGGCCCCACAAUACUCUUUAUUAUAAAUCCCAAUUGAGGCUCAAAAUAAAAUGAUUUUAUUGGUUGGGUAUUUGGCCUAGCUAUUAACAUGCUGGUUGAGACACCUGUGCCCUCUAUCAGAUGUUUUGAGUUCUGGCUGUGGCUUCUGAUUCCAGUUUCCUGCCAAUGCAAACCUUGGGAGGCUGCAGAUGAUGAAACAAGUACUUGGUCCUCUGGACACCACGUGGAAGACCUGGGCUGAGUUCCUCCCCAGCUCUCAGCUUAAGGCCAUCCAAUUCACAGCUGUUGAAGUAUUUGGGGGAUGAAUUAGCCGUCUGUAUAUCUCUUUCUCAGUCUCUCCAUCUCUCCAUUUCUAUGCCUCUUAAAUAAAUUAUUUUUUUUAAAAAAAUGCUUCCAUCAAUUUCUGCCAAAUUCUUGUUUUUUGACUGACCUAUAACUGCAAUUCAACCAUGAUUUGAGAAUUCAACUUAAUGCCAUUAAAUUCGUUAAUGACAACUUUCUUAAGAAAAAAAAAAACCUUUAUUGGGGAACAUUAAUAGCAUACAGAGAACUGCAUGUAGCAUUUAUGUACAACUUUGUGAGUUUGGAUAGAGCACCACAGUCCAUCACUUCCCAGUUUCCUUUGUCCUGUUCUUGCUUUUUUUUUUAGUGUGUGUGUGUGUAUGUGUGUGUGUGUGUCUAUCAAGAACACUAAACAUGAAAUUUACCCACUUAACCCAAUUUGAAGUGCACAGCACCAUAUUGUUCAUCAUAGGGCACUAUUCCAUACAGCAAACCUCUAGAACUUUUUUUUUUUUGACAGGCAGAGUGGACAGUGAGAGAGAGAGACAGAGAGAAAGGUCUUCCUUUGCUGUUGGUUCACCCUCCAAUGGCUGCCGCGGCCGGCGCACCGCGCUGAUCCGAUGGCAGGAGCCAGGUACUUCUCCUGGUCUCCCAUGGGGUGCAGGGCCCAAGUACUUGGGCCAUCCUCCACUGCACUCCCUGGCCACAGCAGAGAGCUGGCCUGGAAGAGGGGUA